rnacentral:lncRNA from 1 species
UAUAAAGCCUUAUCUCUUUUUUCCAAAGAAAGAACGUAAAACAAGAACAAUGAAAAUUAUCUCAGUGAUCUACUUAGCGCUGGUUGCUAUGAUCAUGGCUGCAGCAAGAGCAUAUCUUCCUGCGCCGUUUGGUAGUCCCUAUGGACCAGAAUAAAGUUUAUUUAUGCAAUUGUUAUAAUUAAAAUAAUAUUUUUUUUCCUUUAAA